CUAGACCUAACAUCGAUAGUACACUACACCCACUAUCCGCCCGGGUACUACGAGCACCAGCUUGAAACCCAAAGGACUUGGCGGUGCUUUAGAUCCACCUAGAGGAGCCUGUUCUAGAACCGAUAACCCCCGUUCAACCUCACCCUUCCUUGUUCUCCCCGCCUAUAUACCGCCGUCGUCAGCUUACCCUGUGAAGGACUUAUAGUAAGCAAAAUUGGUACAGCCCAAAACGUCAGGUCGAGGUGUAGCGUAUGGAGGGGGAAGAAAUGGGCUACAUUCCCUAAUACAGAGAAUACGAACGAUACAUUGAAAUAUGUGUCCGAAGGAGGAUUUAGCAGUAAGCAGGAAAUAGAGUGUUCCGCUGAAAUCGGCCCUGAAGCGCGCACACACCGCCCGUCACUCUCCCCAAGCCCCUUGAAUUUAAUUAAUUAAAACCCUACUAUCGCGAAGGGGAGGCAAGUCGUAACAUGGUAAGUGUACUGGAA
rnacentral:rRNA from 1 species